ACGCCAGGUCCUUGCUUGACCGUAAGUUUAAGCUCAUCUGCUCAGAGCUGAAUGGCCGCUACAUCAGCAAUGAAUUUAAGGUGGAGGUGAAUGUAAUCCACACGGCCAACCCCAUGGAACACGCCAACCACAUGGCUGCCCAGCCACAGUUCGUGCACCCGGAACACCGCUCCUUUGUUGACCUGUCAGGCCACAACCUGGCCAACCCCCACCCGUUCGCAGUCGUCCCCAGCACUGCGACCGUUGUGAUCGUGGUGUGCGUCAGCUUCCUGGUGUUCAUGAUUAUCCUGGGGGUAUUUCGGAUCCGGGCCGCACAUCAGCGGACCAUGCGGGAUCAGGACACUGGGAAGGAGAACGAGAUGGACUGGGACGACUCUGCCCUGACCAUCACCGUCAACCCCAUGGAGGUAGGAGUGGGCGGGCGACCUCCAGGACUGAGAGGCAGCACAGGCCAGGGCCUCCGAGAAGCCGGUACGGCGCGGCUCCUUCGGACCUAUGAGGACCAGCACAGCAGUGAGGAGGAGGAGGAAGAGGAAGAGGAAGAGGAAGAGGAGAGCGAGGACGGCGAAGACGAGGAUGACAUCACCAGCGCAGAGUCGGAGAGCAGCGAGGAGGAGGAGGGGGAGCAGGGCGACCCCCAGAACGCAACCCGGCAGCAGCAGCUGGAGUGGGAUGACUCCACCCUCAGCUACUGACCCGUGCCCCCGGCCACCUCGGUUUCUGCUUUCGAAGACUCUGCUGCCAUCCGUUCUCCCAGUCCCAAGGGUCCACGAUGUACAAAGUCAUUUCGGCCAGUAGGUGUGCAGACCCCUCCCCGCCACGAUCGUCGCCGUGCUUGGUGUGUAGGACCCUAGGCUCCCCGCCCACCCUCUGCCUGGUCGCGCUCUUCAGUCCCACGAGGAGCUGACACGUCCUCUCUGGCCGCCAUCCGGCUCGCACAGGGGCCUCCCAGCGCCUCAGGCCCCGCGUUUGUGUCUGGAGUCUCCCCCCGGGGAGAGGACGCUGGCCCCUCGCACUCCAGAAAAGCCAUGCCAGCUGGACUCGUUGACAAAGGGUAAAACAUGCUCACUCCCACCCGGUAAUCAUUUUUUUCUUUUUUUAAAAAAAGUUUUUAUUUUUUCCAAACUAGUGCAUGUAUAAAUAAUGGCAGGAUGGGGGGUACUGUGUAGAUGAUUAACUGACUUUUUAAUAUUUUGUAAAUAAAUCGGAUUCCUUGUGUCCUUUGUGCUAGUGUAACCCGGGACUGGAAUGUAAAGUGAAGUUCGGAGCUCUGAGCACGGGCUCUUCCCGCCGGGUCCUCCCUCCCCAGACCCCAGAGGGAGAGGCCCACCCCGCCCAGCCCCGCCCCAGCCCCUGCUCAGGUCUGAGUGUGGCUGGGAGUCGGGGGCCACAGGCCUCUAGCUGUGCUGCUCAAGAGACUGGAUCAGGGACCGCUCUUUGGUAGCUACAAGUAGCCGGGCCUUGCCUUUGGGAUUCUACCUGUUCCUAAUUUGGUGUGGCGUGCGGGGUCCCCGGCCCCUUUUCCACACUCCUCCUCCGACAGCAGCUCCCUGGGCAGUGGCCUGGUCUCACCGUGUGCAGCCUUGUGGUUUAUGCUUAAAUGUACAUUUUCUUGCUGGUAAAAGGAGAAACUGACAGGUGUCCUGCAGACCGGCUGACCACUCCUUUUGGAGACGGCAGGAGGCCUGAGCGAUCCGUACUCAGAACGUCCAGGAGAGACGCAUGGCCCGAAGUCAAAGUGCUGGAAUUUUCCAAAACAGCCUGUUCUCUCCUCUCUCCUCCCCAGAGCACCCCCUGCCAUCAGGGGGGUUGAAAUCCCUCUCCCCCAGGAGCCCUGCUGCUUUGCUUGGUGGUAGGGCAGAAGGAGAGCAAACGAACAGUCAUGGUCUAAAACCCACAUAGCACUUUGCUCUUAGUUACAUGUAAAAUUUUAGAUUUCUAAAACAUGUGGGCAAUCAUUUUGAAUACUGUUCUGUGACCCUGACUGCUAGUUCUGAGGACACUGGUGGCUGUGCUACGUGUGGCCAUCCUCCAUGUCCCAUCCCUGUAGCUGCUCUGUUUGUUUAGACAGCGGACAGACGCUCACGCACAGGGGAUGUCCUCACGCUGUCGCCGCGCGGUUUCCCUUCGCAGAUGUGUAUACUCAUGAUAGGUCAGAAAGUGUAUCCGCUACAAUAAAGUUCUGGUUCUAACU
rnacentral:sRNA from 1 species